rnacentral:rRNA from 1 species
GACAGAGGAUGCAAGCGUUAUCCGGAAUGAUUGGGCGUAAAGCGUCUGUAGGUGGCUUUUUAAGUCCGCCGUCAAAUCCCAGGGCUCAACCCUGGACAGGCGGUGGAAACUACCAAGCUGGAGUACGGUAGGGGCAGAGGGAAUUUCCGGUGGAGCGGUGAAAUGCGUAGAGAUCGGAAAGAACACCAACGGCGAAAGCACUCUCGUGCUGGCCGACACUGACACUGAAGAGGACGAAAGAGCUAGGG